rnacentral:rRNA from 1 species
UACGUAGGGUGCGAGCGUUGUCCGGAAUUAUUGGGCGUAAAGGGCGCGUAGGCGGCUUCGAUAGUCGGGUGUGAAAUGCCUGGGCUCAACCCAGGAACUGCACUCGAAACUCCGAGGCUAGAGUGUGGGAGAGGAUAGUGGAAUUCCCAGUGUAGAGGUGAAAUUCGUAGAUAUUGGGAAGAACACCGGUGGCGAAGGCGGCUAUCUGGACCACAACUGACGCUGAGGCGCGAAAGCGUGGGGAGCAAACAGG